rnacentral:misc_RNA from 1 species
GCUGCUGCUGCCCGUCCACCGAACGGCCGGCAGGCGAUCCGCGUCGGUCGCGCUGGGUGGUAUGGCUCCCCAGAGGCCGGUUCUUGUGCUGCCUACCCCUUCAGGGGAAGCCGGCCGCUUGAUGCAAGCCUUCAUCCCGCGCCCCCCAACGGGCGCAGGAGGACAACGGAGCACCCCCCGCGUUCCACCGAGCCUCUCCUCGGUCGCGUGGCGCGCGGGGGCUGCGAUGCUCUCGGACCCAGCGAACGCCGUGGGCGAGGACUCACGUCCCAGUCCCGAUAGAAGCUCCCACAUAAUGCAUGACGGCCGCUCCCGUCCCCCGACCGCCCCGGCGGCGCGGGGGCGAGGCGCGGCGUCGCGGAGGAAUGC